UGGGGAAUAUUGGGCAAUGGGGGAAACCCUGACCCAGCAACGCCGCGUGAAGGAAGAAGGUUUUCGGAUUGUAAACUUCUGUCCCAUGGGAAGAAGGAAGUGACGGUACCAUGGGAGGAAGCCCCGGCUAACUACGUGCCAGCAGCCGCGGUAAUACGUAGGGGGCAAGCGUUGUCCGGAAUUAUUGGGCGUAAAGGGUGCGUAGGCGGCCUUUCAAGUUGGAUGUGAAAUCCCCGUGCUUAACAUGGGAACUGCAUCCAAAACUGGAGGGCUUGAGUGUGGAAGAGGUAAGUGGAAUUCCCAGUGUAGCGGUGAAAUGCGUAGAUAUUGGGAGGAACACCAGUGGCGAAGGCGACUUACUGGGCCACAACUGACGCUGAGGCACGAAAGCGUGGGGAGCAAACAGG
rnacentral:rRNA from 1 species